rnacentral:lncRNA from 1 species
GGAAAAUGAAACUAUAUUAUUUUUUUGUUGUGAGUAGGUUUGGCAAAUGCUCUCAAAGUCGAAAUAUUCCUUGUCUGGUUUCCAACAGUGACACUUUCGGCCAAUGGUCAUCUACAUGCCUCUAGUCCACUUUUGAGUACAGCAUAAAAUUCAAUUUGAACAAAAGGCUUUGAUUUUCUCCUUCCUCCAGAAAUCUAAUUCCUCAAAACCACAUCACUGAGCAAUUUCGCAUGGUAGUAAUUAAGGCCACAUUUUUCCAUACUUGAUUUUCUGGUCUCUGAUAAACAGCAUGAAUGGAGUAUUCAGGCUCCAAAUACCCUGAACGCACAACGCUUUUUACUCCUGUCCCCUCAUUUUGCUGGAUUCUCAGGUAAAGACAGCAAAAGGAGCAAUGUGCCUUCAUUCUCUUGGUUUCUCCUGUCUGGGAUACUUGGACGACAGAAUGUCAUCCCUGUGUGGGAAAGAGACAAGAUCUCUGCUUGACUAACAAGAAGAACCAAAAGUAUCCUUUCAGGGUAAAUCAUCUGGCUUCCCCUUGUUUGUGCUCCAGCUACCUUUCAUGGACUCUACCUGCAAACCAAAUGAGACAACCAGCCACAGGAGAGCACAUAAUAAAAGCUGAAGAAAAAUUGAUUACAUGGAUAAAUAAGUGAACACACCAACUAUCAGCAGGAACAGGCUACUCAGCCUGAAAGAUGAGUGAAAAGAAGAUGGCCUAGAAGUUUCAUCACUUGAUCCUUGAAUAUUGGGCCUGAAUCCAAUUAUAAGAUGUCAUCCAUCCCCCUCACCCU